AUUGAACGCUGGCGGCAUGCUUUACACAUGCAAGUCGAACGGUAACAGGCCUUCGGGUGCUGACGAGUGGCGAACGGGUGAGUAAUACAUCGGAACGUACCCAGAGGUGGGGGAUAACGCAGCGAAAGCUGUGCUAAUACCGCAUGUGAUCUGAGGAUGAAAGCGGGGGACCGAGCAGCAAUGUUUGGCCUCGCGCCUUUGGAGCGGCCGAUGUCGGAUUAGCUAGUUGGUGGGGUAAAGGCCUACCAAGGCGACGAUCCGUAGCUGGUCUGAGAGGACGACCGCCCAAACUGGGACUGGGACACGGCCAAAACUCCUCGGGGAGGAAGCAGUGGGAAAUUUUGGAAAGGGGGCGAAAACCGGACCCAGAAAGGCGGGGGGGGGAAAAAAGGCCUUCGGGUUGAAAACCGUUUUUGGAAGGAAGAAAAGGGUGUCCGCUAAUACCGGGGGCUAAUGACGGUCCCGGCAAAAAAAGCACCGGCUAACUACGG
rnacentral:rRNA from 1 species